UGCAGCCAUGUCAAAUUCGGUGCCUGCCCCAUCCAUGGCAGACACUGGCCCAAAAGGCUGCCAUAGAAACACUGUGACUCAUGGGCCCUGAUCCCCUUUGCUGGGCCCUCAGGGAUAAAUUUGGUUACAGACACCA
rnacentral:snoRNA from 1 species